GGCUUAGGGAUCAAAGGAGCAAUCCGGAGUGGGGUGGGCUCGCGUCUGAUUAGCUAGUUGGUGAGGUAACGGCCCACCAAGGCGACGAUCAGUAGCCGACCUGAGAGGGUGAUCGGCCACACUGGGACUGAGACACGGCCCAGACUCCUACGGGAGGCAGCAGUGGGGAAUAUUGGGCAAUGGGGGAAACCCUGACCCAGCAACGCCGCGUGAGGGAAGAAGGUUUUCGGAUCGUAAACCUCUGUCCUUAGGAAG
rnacentral:rRNA from 1 species